rnacentral:rRNA from 1 species
CCCUUAGAUGUUCUGGGCCGCACGCGCGCUACACUGAUGCAUUCAACAAGCCUAGCCUUGACCGAGAGGUCCGGGUAAUCUUUGAAACUGCAUCGCGAUGGGGCUAGAUUAUUGCAAUUAUUAAUCUUCAACGAGGAAUGCCUAGUAAGCGUGAUUCAUCAAAUCGCGUUGAUUACGUCCCUGCCCUUUGUACACACCGCCCGUCGCUCCUACCGAUUGAAUGUGUUGGUGAGGAGCUCGGAUUGGCAGCAGUUGGUGGUUCGCCACCGGCUAUUGCUGAGAAGUCCUCCAAACCGCCCCAUUUAGAGGAAGGAGAAGUCGUAACA